AGCGAACGCUGGCGGCAGGCUUAACACAUGCAAGUCGAACGGGCAUAGCAAUAUGUCAGUGGCAGACGGGUGAGUAACGCGGGGGAACGUACCUUUUGGUUCGGAACAACACAGGGAAACUUGUGCUAAUACCGGAUAAGCCCUCACGGGGGAAGAUGCAUCGGCGAAAGAUCGGCCCGCGUCUGAUUAGGUAGUUGGUAGGGUAAUGGCCUACCAAGGCGACGAUCAGGAGCUGGGCUGAGAGGAGGAUAAGCCGCAUUGGGACUGAGACACGGCCCAAACUCCGACGGGAGGCAGCAGUAGGGAAUAUAGGGCAAGGGGCGAAAGCCUAACCAAGCCAUGCGGGGUGAGUGAUGAAGGCGCUAGGGUUGUAAAGCCCUUUUGUGCGGGACGAUAAUGACGGUACCGGAAGAAGAAGCCCCGGCUAACUUCGUG
rnacentral:rRNA from 1 species